rnacentral:rRNA from 1 species
UACGGGGGGGGCAAGCGUUGUUCGGAAUUACUGGGCGUAAAGAGCGCGCAGGCGGUCGUUCAAGUCGAGUGUGAAAGCCCCCGGCUCAACUGGGGAGGGUCACUCGAUACUGAUCGACUGGAAGGCAGGAGAGGGAAGCGGAAUUCCCGGUGUAGUGGUGAAAUGCGUAGAUAUCGGGAGGAACACCAGUGGCGAAGGCGGCUUCCUGGCCUGUUCUUGACGCUGAGGCGCGAAAGCUAGGGGAGCAAACGGG